AAAGAACUCAUUUGAUAUGAAGGUUUAUGAGAAGAUUUAUUUGUUUUUUUUGCCAGAUUUGUGUUAGUUUCUCUAGCUCGAUGCUUAGGUUAAUUGUUGCUGUAACUUGUCUUCGUUUUAUGUUCUUACUGUGAUAGGAAGCUUGUUGACAAGGUUGCAGAAGCUGGAUUCUAUGUCGUGGUUCCUGAUGUCUUCCAUGGAGAUCCAUUGUUAGUUGUUGAUUGCAAAGCUAAGAACAAGACAAUGACUUAUCUCUUUGUUGGAUAAUAAAUAAACCAUGGUCCACUGACAUGAGCUUACACAUGGCUUUAUCUUUCCUGUUUUGUGUUUAAUCUCAGCAAAAGUUGCGGUGAAAAUGGCAAAACAGAAGCUUGUUGACGCUACUGUUUUAUUACAUCCUUCUAGUGUGAACAAAAGAUUAAAAAAGAGUGAGAGUCAUCAAUCUUGCUGUAAAAGAUGGUGAAUUAAUCUUUUGACGCUAGAGAAAUGGAGUAUGUGUGGUUAGUAUCUUCUGUUUGUUUGAUACAUGGUGAGAUCACAUUUGUUUUGAAAUUGUUUCCUAAUGGUUGGAGUUUGUGGAAACAACGUCAUGAAUAACCAAGUAACAAGUGAUCUCAUUGAGGGUAUUGGAUAGAAAGCUUCGAUUCAUCUUUUGGUGAGAUUCAGCUGUGGUAGGUAUUGGUAAGACACUUUGCUGCUCCAAAUACCUUUUCUAGCUUAUCUUUCCUUCUUUCCUCACGCUUUUAUAUGUAGUCAUUAUCUAGUAGAAGCAUUUGAAAAACUCACUUGCUUUACUUAUACAAAGACAGCCAACGACAAAGAAAAGAACCAAACUGCAGAGAAUAUGGAGAAGGCAGUGAAGUGUGGACAUCAACCUAAGUUCUUGGAGGGAGAGAAAGAGCAAACCAAUGUAAUUCUUCGUUUAGUCCAUCUGAAUUGCAGUACUUAUGAUGUUGUUUAAGACCUUUUUUUAACAAAUGGUGUUCAAUGCUACACUAUGUAACUUUUGAUGAUCUAUGGAAAGAAACAUGUUUUUAAUAAA